rnacentral:rRNA from 1 species
GACGAACGCUGGCGGCGUGCUUAACACAUGCAAGUCGAACGGAAAGGCCCUGCUUGCAGGGUACUCGAGUGGCGAACGGGGGAGUAACACGUGGGUGAUCUGCCCUGCACUUCGGGAUAAGCCUGGGAAACUGGGUCUAAUACCGGAUAGGAGCCAUUUUUAGUGUGAUGGUUGGAAAGUUUUUUCGGUGUAGGAUGAGCUCGCGGCCUAUCAGCUUGUUGGUGGGGUAAUGGCCUACCAAGGCGGCGACGGGUAGCCGGCCUGAGAGGGUGGACGGCCACAUUGGGGCUGAGAUACGGCCCAGACUCCUACGGGAGGCAGCAGUGGGGAAUAUUGCACAAUGGGCGCAAGCCUGAUGCAGCGACGCCGCGUGGGGGAUGACGGCCUUCGGGUUGUAAACUCCUUUCGCUAGGGACGAAGCUUUUUGUGACGGUACCUAGAUAAGAAGCACCGGCUAACUACGUG